rnacentral:misc_RNA from 1 species
UUCUUGAUUCUUGAGAAAAUUUCCCUGUUUCGAGAGCGGACAAUAAACAUACCAGCGCAUAUUAGCGCCCAGCCUCAUCAUACCAUUUCUGGGUUUUUGUCCUCUUUGGUCCCUUCGAUCGUUCUUUGGUCCAAAAUCAAGAAAUGCCAGUGUUUUUGUUUUAAUAUUUGAUACCGAUUCGUACUGCUGAUUAUUCAGUUUCAGUAACUUGAACCUUUUCUUGCUGAUUUUCUGCAAACUUUGAACACUUUUGUUGCUUUCUAGUAAAGACCAGCAGGUUCAUGCGCUAAAAGGCUCUAUAAACCCAGGAAUCUUACUGAUUUCCAUCGGUUUCAUUGGGUUUUUAGAGUUCUUCCAAAGUCUCGUAAGUGUCAUUCAACACCUUCCAAAAUUUCUCUGCUCUUUUCCCUUGUCUAGAUCGCUUUUGCUGAAUUGUAAAUUUGUCUGUUGACAAAAUUUCAGCUCCUUUCUCUAUAGAGUCACAGUACCAAAUUGCACAGAAACCACAGUCGUAAUAGCACACUUCGCCUCCGCCAUCCAUCACCAUCCAUUUGUCAAGCGAAGCUUUUGUACCUAUCUUCUGGGUUUUUCUAUAAACUCCUCCCUCCUGGUUCUUCAUUCCUCACAUCUACUGCAGAGUUCUCAUAAGCUCUGUUUUGCUUACUGUUUUCUUGAAAAUAAUCUGUUCUUCCAGCUCUGCUUGCCUAUCUUUUCCUGCGAGAAAUGGCUAGGUUCUGGCAUGUGUUCACCGUGAGGAACUUGUUGGUGGUGUCUCUAGCCAUCAAUGCAAGCUUCAUUUUGAGGCUGGGAUACGAGACCAUUGACAUAAAGAGAGAGCAACUGCUGACGGGUAAACGUGCCCAAGGAGAGGCACUGCCUACUCAGAGGGCACAUCUGCCUGUGUCUACUACCUCGUCACCUUCCUCGACUCCUUUCCCUGGCGGCGAUAGAGACAGAGUGAUCAAUCUCGACCACGGUGACCCGACCAUGUACGAGAG